rnacentral:rRNA from 1 species
UAGGGAAUAUUGGACAAUGGGCGCAAGCCUGAUCCAGCCAUGCCGCGUGAGUGAAGAAGGCCCUCGGGUUGUAAAGCUCUUUUGUCCGGAAAGAAAAGCAUCGGGCUAAUACCCUGGUGUUCUGACGGUACCGGAAGAAUAAGCACCGGCUAACUUCGUGCCAGCAGCCGCGGUAAUACGAAGGGUGCAAGCGUUACUCGGAAUUACUGGGCGUAAAGCGUGCGUAGGUGGUUUGUUAAGUCUGAUGUGAAAGCCCUGGGCUCAACCUGGGAAUGGCAUUGGAAACUGGCGGACUCGAGUGCGGUAGAGGGGUGUGGAAUUCCCGGUGUAGCAGUGAAAUGCGUAGAGAUCGGGAGGAACACCAGUGGCGAAGGCGACACCCUGGACCAGCACUGACACUGAGGCACGAAAGCGUGGGGAGCAAACAGGAUUAGAUACCCUGGUAGUCCACGCCCUAAACGAUGCGAACUGGAUGUUGGGUGCAACUUGGCACUCAGUAUCGAAGCUAACGCGUUAAGUUCGCCGCCUGGGGAGUACGGUCGCAAGACUGAAACUCAAAGGAAUUGACGGGGUCAUAGC